ACAUGCUACGGACUACAUUUUUGGAAAAGGAGUGAGAUUGUUGCUGUGGGGCUCUGUCUGUACCAGAAGCUGCUGCUGAGAGCCUGCAGGGGCUUUGAUCGAGCAGGAAGCCUCAGAGGCUGUUGGUGGUUUCACUGGAGUCAGAGCAGAGACUGUUGCUGUGCCUAGAGCUGAAGGAAGUGGGCCUGCAGUGAAGGAAUUGUGAGUAACCUGCACUCUUGUUUGGGAAAGUACUGGCAAGGGAAGGGGCACAGCAGAGAGACUGAGUCUGAGGAGAGGCAGAGUGAUCUUCCCAUUGAACCAGAACCCAGAGCUGCUGCCAUUUGGUGGGGCCAGCUCCAAUCCUCAGAGGGGUUGUGCAGCUUGGCUGGACUGAUGCAUAGAACCAACAGAGCGCUGUCUCCAGCUGCAGAUCUUCAAGCACUCCCACACAAGUGCCUAGGACUCUGAAAUCCAGAGGAGUGUACACUCUAAGGUGGGGUAAACGGUGGCAGUGUAAAUGCUGGUUAUGAGUAAAGAGACUGCAGCAGAGGGGUGAAUAGAGAGGAUUUCCAUCUCUCCAUCCAACAGCACCCUGGGGAUACUCAGGCUCUUCUUUAAUGUCAACAACAUCAGGCGUCCAGGCACACAGGUAGCUGAUGGGGUACAACUGAGAAGUCCUGUAGUAGAAGACAAAUAGGAAUAGAAGAAGAUUAGAGGUGAACCAUAUUUUUGACAAUAAAGUGGCAGUAUCAGAAGUGCAGUUCUCUAACCACAAGCCAGAUGGAAACUGAAGCACGGAAAGACUAAAUGACUUGCUCAAGAUGAUACACUAUAUUUGUGACAGAACCAGCAGCAAGCCCAGACCUUCUGAGCCUCAGUCCAAUGCCUUUACCAACUGCAAGACCAUCCUUCCCAGACCAUCCCAGGAAUACAAUAGGAGACGUCAUUUCCUGAAGCCUCAGACAAGGAAGAGCCAAAUCACAUUACCAGUGCUUAAGCAGCUGAAGUGGCCACUUCCACUAUUAUGCCUCCAGAAGACAGAUUUGUUCCUUUGUAUCUGCCAGGGCCACCAGGCUUAAGAUUUUCCCCUCUGUGCCUUCUUUCAUACCAUCCCUUACACUUCAAAAAACCACCCAAUUACAGUUUGUCAAGUACCCUCCAUCUCUUCCUUCAAAAAUCAAUAAAGACCAAUCUAUUCUAUGAGGCAUUCCAC